GACGAACGCUGGCGGCGUGCCUAAUACAUGCAAGUAGAACGCACAGUUUAUACCGUAGCUUGCUACACCAUAGACUGUGAGUUGCGAACGGGUGAGUAACGCGUAGGUAACCUGCCUGGUAGCGGGGGAUAACUAUUGGAAACGAUAGCUAAUACCGCAUAAUAUUGAUUAUUGCACGAUAAUUGAUUGAAAGAUGCUAUUGCAUCACUACCAGAUGGACCUGCGUUGUAUUAGCUAGUAGGUGAGGUAACGGCUCACCUAGGCGACGAUACAUAGCCGACCUGAGAGGGUGAUCGGCCACACUGGGACUGAGACACGGCCCAGACUCCUACGGGAGGCAGCAGUAGGGAAUCUUCGGCAAUGGACGAAAGUCUGACCGAGCAACGCCGCGUGCGUGAAGAAGGUUUUCGGAUCGUAAAGCUCUGUUGUAAGAGAAGAACGGGUGUGAGAGUGGAAAGUUCACACUGUGACGGUAUCUUACCAGAAAGGGACGGCUAACUACGUG
rnacentral:rRNA from 1 species